rnacentral:lncRNA from 12 species
AGUGUAAGAUGCAGCCCAGGCCACAAAUAAGUAAAAUCAAGCAGAUAAAACCAAGGGAUGAGGGAAGUGCAGACAGCAGUUCCUGGUUCCAGCCUCCCAGAGCUCCCAGGCAGUUGCCAGCUAUUAAAUGCCAACCGAGAGCCUGCAGAGAUGCCUUAAAAUCAAAGGUUCAGGUGGGCUGGAGUUUUGUUUGGACGAAGGUGGGAGUUUCCAGGGAGCCAGCUGGAAGUGCUGAAGGGAUGGGAAGCUUUCCCAGCUUGUAAAACUUAUCCUGGAAUUCAGAAGCAGUGUUGGCUCUUGACCUUCACCUCUGGUCCCGCUU